rnacentral:rRNA from 1 species
AGAACGAACGCUGGCGGCAGGCUUAACACAUGCAAGUCGAACGCACUCUUCGGAGUGAGUGGCAGACGGGUGAGUAACGCGUGGGAACGUACCCUUUGGUUCGGGAUAACCCGGGGAAACUCGGGCUAAUACCGGAUAAGCCGGAAACGGGAAAGGUUUACUGCCGAAGGAUCGGCCCGCGUCGGAUUAGCUAGUUGGUGUGGUAACGGCUCACCAAGGCGACGAUCGGUAGCUGGUCUGAGAGGAUGAUCAGCCAGACUGGGACUGAGAACGGCCCAGACUCCUACGGGAGGCAGCAGUCGGGAAUUUUGCCCAAUGGACGAAAGUCUGAGGCAGCAACUCCGCGUGAGGGAUGAAGGCUCUAGGGUCGUAAACCUCUUUUCUCAGGGAAGAUCCAAGACGGUACCUGAGGAAUAAGCGACGGCUAACUACGUGCCAGCAGCCGC